rnacentral:rRNA from 1 species
AUUGAACGCUGGCGGCAGGCUUAACACAUGCAAGUCGAGCGGGGGAAGGUAGCUUGCUACCGGACCUAGCGGCGGACGGGUGAGUAAUGCUUAGGAAUCUGCCUAUUAGUGGGGGACAACAUCUCGAAAGGGAUGCUAAUACCGCAUACGUCCUACGGGAGAAAGCAGGGGAUCUUCGGACCUUGCGCUAAUAGAUGGGCCUAGGUCGGAUUAGCUAGUUGGUGGGGUAAAGGCCUACCAAGGCGACGAUCUGUAGCGGGUCUGAGAGGAUGAUCCGCCACACUGGGACUGAGACACGGCCCAGACUCCUACGGGAGGCAGCAGUGGGGAAUAUUGGACAAUGGGGGGAACCCUGAUCCAGCCAUGCCGCGUGUGUGAAGAAGGCCUUAUGGUUGUAAAGCACUUUAAGCGAGGAGGAGGCUACUCUAGUUAAUACCUAGGGAUAGUGGACGUUACUCGCAGAAUAAGCACCGGCUAACUCUGUGCCAGCCGCCGCCGUAA